UACAGAGGUCCCAAGCGUUGUUCGGAUUUAUUGGGCGUAAAGGGUGCGUAGGCGGCGGAGUAAGUUGGGUGUGAAAUCCCGGGGCUUAACCUCGGAAUUGCAUUCAAUACUGCUUCGCUCGAGUACUGGAGAGGAGGCUGGAAUUUACGGUGUAGCAGUGAAAUGCGUAGAUAUCGUAAGGAAGGCCGGGUGGCGAAAGCGAGCCUCUGGACAGUUACUGACGCUGAUGCACGAAGGCCAGGGGGAGCAAACGGGG
rnacentral:rRNA from 1 species